UGGGGAAUUUUGGACAAUGGGGGAAACCCUGAUCCAGCCAUCCCGCGUGUGCGAUGAAGGCCUUCGGGUUGUAAAACACUUUUGGCAGGAAAGAAACGUCGUGGGUUAAUACCCCGCGAAACUGACGGUACCUGCAGAAUAAGCACCGGCUAACUACGUGCCAGCAGCCGCGGUAAUACGUAGGGUGCAAGCGUUAAUCGGAAUUACUGGGCGUAAAGCGUGCGCAGGCGGUUCGGAAAGAAAGAUGUGAAAUCCCAGAGCUUAACUUUGGAACUGCAUUUUUAACUACCGGGCUAGAGUGUGUCAGAGGGAGGUGGAAUUCCGCGUGUAGCAGUGAAAUGCGUAGAUAUGCGGAGGAACACCGAUGGCGAAGGCAGCCUCCUGGGAUAACACUGACGCUCAUGCACGAAAGCGUGGGGAGCAAACAGGAUUAGAUACCCUGGUAGUCCACGCCCUAAACGAUGUCAACUAGCUGUUGGGGUCUUCGGACCUUGGUAGCGCAGCUAACGCGUGAAGUUGACCGCCUGGGGAGUACGGUCGCAAGAUUAAAACUCAAAUGAAUUGACGGGG
rnacentral:rRNA from 1 species